UGAGUGGGCCGGGUGACUGCUCACGGAACUUUUCGUGAGAGGAAAGUCCGGACUCCAAAGGGCAAGGUGCUGGGUAACGCCCAGGCGGAGUAAUCCGACACCAGCGCCACAGAAAAUAUACCGCCGACGGCAAAAGCUCAGGUUUUUGCCAGGUAAGGGUGAAAUGGUGGGGUAAGAGCCCACCGCGCCUGUGGUAACACAGGUGGCAGGGUAAGCGUCACCUGGAGCAAAACCAAAUAGGGGGACGAUCCCCGGUUUGUCAGGGGAACCCAUCCUCUACGGAUCGGGAGAGAGACUGGCCCGGUCGAGGUUCCCGGGUAGGUUGCUUGAAGCCUAGGGUAACUUAGGUUCCAGAGAAAUGGUCACCACUGGAUGAAAUGCGUUUCAUCCAGUACAGAAUCCGGCUUACAGGCCCACUCCUCCA
rnacentral:RNase_P_RNA from 1 species